rnacentral:tRNA from 1 species
GAGGGGUUAGUAAAUGAUUACAUUAUCUUGUCAAGAUAAAAUAACGAGUUAAAAUCCUGUACCCUUUA